CGCGAUGCUUCAAGCAACGAGUAUAUUAAGCCUGUGUAAUUGUUAAUUUCUCUAUCCCACUCCAUCCAGGUCAUGUUAUUCCAAAUUGUGUCCAGAGAUUUAUUACUCCAACUAGUGUUCCAAGGCACAGAGGUGGUGCAAAUGAGUUUUCCAGAGCAACCCCAAAUCCCUAGGAGCUGUUGAUCACUUAGGUGCCUUUCCACAGCCAGGAGUCUUGCCUGGAGCUGUUUAAUGCCCCAGACUGUGAGUUGCAACAGAUGCUGUUGCGCCUCAAUAGCUCUCAGCAGAUUGUUCUGCUGUUGCACUAUACCAGACAGUAACUGUCUGGCUUGUACCGUCAGCGUUAUUGACGCUGCGCCCAUAGUGCUUCCUGCUAUUCCCAGUAACCCAAGGAACAUAGCUCCUAUUGCUCCCACUGCUCUUUUUUCUCUCUGCACCACUCUUCUCCUUGCCUUGGUGGGUGCUACUCCUAAUGGUUCAAUUCUUACUACCUUAUAUUUAUAUAAUUCACUUCUCCAAUUGUCCAUCAUAUUUCCUCCUUCAGGCCUGAAGGUCUCUGUGUCGUUGGUUGUAUUACCACCAUCUCUUGUUAAUAGCAACCCUGUAAUAUUUGAUGUACAGUUAAUUUGUCCUUGGACGGGAGGGGCAUACAUUGCUUUGCCUACUUCCUGCCACAUGUUUAUGAUUUGUUUUAUUCUGCACGGGAGUGUAAUAGUUGUGCUAUUGCCAUCUGUAGUACUAGUUCCAUUAGCCCUCCAAGUUGAGUUAAACAAUUGUGUUGUGUUACAGUAGAAAAAUUCCCCUCCACAAUUAAAAUUGUGCCUUACAAUCUCUGGGUCCCCUCCUGAGGAGUGAUUAAAGACUAUUGUUUUAUUAUUCCCAAAUUGUUCUCUUAAUUUUUUAGCUACCUGUCUUAAAGUGUUGUUCCAUUGUGCUCUACUAAUGUUACAAUGUGCAA
rnacentral:antisense_RNA from 1 species